GUUAGGACAUGUCUGCUGGAAUAUUUGGUUCUAAUUUUAGGUGAGCUUGAACAGAGGGUUUCUGUUCGGGUAGGUACUUGUUUAGGAUGGCUAUUAUGGCCAUAGCAGUGUGAUCAUCUGGUUGAGGGGUUCUGAUUGUUGAUUGUCCUCUUGCUUUAUGGGUUCUUGUUUUCUUUGGUAAUGUUCUUGCUUCUUGCUGGUUCAA
rnacentral:misc_RNA from 1 species